rnacentral:rRNA from 1 species
CCCUUAGAUGUUCUGGGCCGCACGCGCGCUACACUGGUGCAUUCAACGAGUCUAAAACCUGCUCUGAUAGGGGUGGGUAAUCUUUUGAAUGUGCAUCGUGAUUGGGAUAGAUGAUUGCAAUUUUUCAUCUUCAACGAGGAAUGCCUAGUAAACGCAAGUCAUCAGCUUGCAUUGAUUACGUCCCUGCCCUUUGUACACACCGCCCGUCGCUCCUACCGAUUGAAUGAUCCGAUGAAUAUCAUGGAUUGAGGAUGCAAGUAGGUUCGCCUAUCUUCAUCUUCGAGAAGUGAAGUAAAUCUUAUCAUUUAGAGGAAGGAGAAGUCGUAACG